UUCUGCAAGAUUCCCACGCAUGCCUUACACGUGUCACACCUUUGCAUCAUCAGAUUCCACCAAGUCUUCCCCAAGACAAGACAAGUGCAACCUAAUUUGUACCAAUGCAUGCCAACCUAUCCACCUAGCCUGCACCUAUUCUGCAAGAUUCCCACGCAUGCCUUACACGUGUCACACCUUUGCAUCAUCAGAUUCCACUAAGUCUUCCCCAAGACAAGACAAGUGGAACCUAAUCUGUACCAAUGCAUGCCACGCAUGCCUAACACUUGUCACAUUUUUGCAUAUUCAAUCUACUUGAAAACGAGUAUAAAUAGAAGGUCAUUCUUGCAAGUUUUCAUCAACCACAAACAC
rnacentral:lncRNA from 1 species